UACGGAGGGGGCUAGCGUUGUUCGGAAUCAUUGGGCGUAAAGAGCGUGUAGGCGGCUCGAUAAGUCUGCUGUGAAAGUCCAGGGCUCAACCCUGGAAGGCCGGUGGAAACUGUCGGGCUAGAGUCCGGAAGAGGCGAGUGGAAUUCCCGGUGUAGCGGUGAAAUGCGCAGAUAUCGGGAGGAACACCAAUGGCGAAGGCAGCUCGCUGGGACGGUACUGACGCUGAGACGCGAAAGCGUGGGGAGCAAACAGG
rnacentral:rRNA from 1 species